CGCCUUGCCAGCCCGCUCAGAACUUAAAUGAAUUGACGGGGCCCGGCACAAGCGGUGGAGUAUGUGGUUAAUUCGAUGCAACGCGAAGAACCUUACCUGGUCUUGACAUCCCGGAGACCCUUAGGAAACUAGGGGGUGCUUCCAUCUGGAAGAAUCUGGAGACAGGUGCUGCAUGGCUGUCGUCAGCUCGUGUCGUGAGAUGUUGGGUUAAGUCCCGCAACGAGCGCAACCCUUGCCUUUAGUUGCCAGCAGUUCGGCUGGGCACUCUAAAGGGACUGCCGGUGUUAAACCGGAGGAAGGUGGGGAUGACGUCAAGUCCUCAUGGCCUUUAUGACCAGGGCUACACACGUACUACAAUGGCCGAUACAAAGGGCAGCGACACUGCGAGGUGAAGCCAAUCCCGUAAAAUCGGUCUCAGUCCGGAUUGGAGUCUGCAACUCGACUCCAUGAAGUUGGAAUCGCUAGUAAUCGCGGAUCAGCCAAGCCGCGGUGAAUACGUUCCCGGGCCUU
rnacentral:rRNA from 1 species